rnacentral:lncRNA from 1 species
GACGGAGGAUCAGUUGGCAUGCCAGACGAGUCCCAGCAACGUGUCUAUAGAACUCCCAGUCACUAUCAAAUACGGGGACCAGGAGCGGAGGCUGGAAGGAUCCCUCUUCAGAUAUACUCUGGAUCCCAAUAUCACUUUUGCAGAGCCACCCAAAAGCUUUCUCAGUGGAGGGAGAGUACUCAGAGUUCAUGGAUACAACUUGGAUGUUGUACAGAGCCCGAAGAUUCGAGUUACAGUUUCUCCAUCUGAACGCCGGCGCCGAGGACUGGGGCGAUGGCGCAGAAUCAUCCCAGACACUGAGUGCCCCACGGGUGCUCUGUGCAGCAUCCAGCAGG